rnacentral:tmRNA from 1 species
GGGCUCGUAAGGGUUUCGACGGGGAUUUUGAGGUAUGAUAAGCGUGGCGGGCUGGACAAUCCCGUAAUAAUGUCCAACCUUAAAAUAAACGACAACAAUACUGUUGCUCUUGCAGCGUAAGCUGUGACGCGGCCAAAAGUGCCGCCCGUACCGUGGAUGAGGACUACGGCUUCCACCGUGCGUCAAAUUAGUAGUGAACUUGAACCGAGAUUUAGCUUUUGUAUCGGUCAAGCAUUAAAAAGCUACCAAAGUGAGAGCCUGUCUAUCGGCGCUCGCAGAGGAAAAUUCUAAAAGAUAAGACUGCCCACGGAGAAGGUUAUAUCAAGAGGUUUUCGGACACGGGUUCAACUCCCGUCGAGUCCACCA